UUCCUUGAAAAAAUUUUUCUCUGAGCUGUUAGUGUACUUACAUUUGGCUUAAGAAAUUUUCUAUUUUCUACCUCAUUCUUUACUUAUUCUUAACCUCCGCAUUUCUGCAAUUUCUUGGGAGAGAGAGCCGUGUUUGUUUUAUUUUGGUUACAAUGCUUUGCACAUAAUGGCUAGGCACUUUAAGAUGAUGAAAUAGUUGAUAAAGUUUCUGCAACUAUGGCGUUAUUAGUAGAGAAAGCAAUCAGCAGUGCUUCUAGCCCUCAAGGCCCUAGGGAUGCACUGAGAAGAGUUUUUGAGUCCAUUUCUUCAGGGAUUAUUUUUAAAAGUAGUCCUGGGCUUCUGGAUCUUUGUGAAAAGGAUCCCUUUGAUACCUUGGCAACAAUGACUGACCAGCAGCGUGAAGACAUCACAUCCAGUGCACAGUUUGCAUUCAGACUCCUUGCAUUCCGCCAGAUAUACAAAGUUAUAGACAUGGAUCCAUUAUCAAAAAUGAGCCAACAUUUUAACAUCCACAACAACAGGAAACGAAAAAGGGAUAGUGAUGGAGUUGAUGGAUUUGAAGCCGAGGGAAAAAAAAAAGAGAAAAGAUUGUGAUAACUUUUAAAAGAUGCCUGUAAAUCUUCAGUGUUAAAAAAACAAAAGAUGCCCAUUUGUUGGCUGUUUGUCAUUCAUAAUAAUGUCUACAUUGAAAAAUUUAUCAAGAAUUUAAAGGAUUUCAUGGAAGAACCAAGUUUUUCUAUGAUAUUA